AGGGCAAGUCUGGUGCCAGCAGCCGCGGUAAUUCCAGCUCCAAUAGCGUAUAUUAAAGUUGUUGCAGUUAAAAAGCUCGUAGUUGAAUUUCGGGGUUCUACCGUUGGUCGGGCUUUGUCUGUACUGGCGUGUAGAAUUUCUACCUUCUGGGGAACCAUUAUGUUAUUAAUUUAGCGUAGUGGGAAACCAGGACCUUUACCUUGAAAAAAUUAGAGUGUUCAAAGCAGACUUAUGUCUGAAUACAUUAGCAUGGAAUAAUAGAAUAGGACGGUGGUCCUGUUUUGUUGGUUUCUGAAUCACCGUAAUGAUUAAUAGGGAUAGUUGGGGGCAUUAGUAUUCAAUUGUCAGAGGUGAAAUUCUUGGAUUUAUUGAAGACUAACUUCUGCGAAAGCAUUUGCCAAGGAUGUUUUCAUUAAUCAAGAACGAAAGUUAGGGGAUCGAAGACGAUCAGAUACCGUCGUAGUCUUAACCAUAAACUAUGCCGACUAGGGAUCGGACGAUGUUAAUUUUUCUUGACUCGUUCGGCGCCUUACGGGAA
rnacentral:rRNA from 1 species